ACAUUUCUUUAUUUACCCCCCUUGACACAAGUGUUUCAGUAAAAAAGAGCAGGUAGAAGUACCCAUGGUUUUUAGUAACAAACAGUUUAUAAACCCCUUAUUUUGUAAACCAGUGGAAUAGAAAGACAAAGAAGCAAAGUAUUUUGUUAACCAUUGGAUCAGAGAGAAAAGGAUUGCUUUUUUACCUGCUUUUUAACAAAGAGAGGUGAAAAGGAAUAAACAGUUGAAAAGACAAGCCUACCAGAAGACCCAUAACCUUCAUUUAGCCCCUCAGGCACAGGUGUUUCAAUAACAUGCAAGUCCGCAGAAACAACCCAGGCUUAAAAACACAGAAAGCCUGUUUAUAAAAGUUUUUCCCUAGGUUUAGGCUAGCACUGGUCAUUUUUUAGUAAGGACAGCAGGCUUUUGCAGCAGAGCAGCUGUCA